UAUCUUCAGGGCAGGGUGAAAUUCCCGAUCGGCGGUUACAGUCCGCGAACGCGUUGCGUAGAUUCGGUGCGAUUCCGAAACCGACAGUAUAGUCUGGAUGAGAGAAGAU
rnacentral:ncRNA from 1 species